rnacentral:rRNA from 1 species
GAUGAACGCUGGCGGCGUGCCUAAUACAUGCAAGUCGAGCGAACAGAUAAGGAGCUUGCUCCUUUGACGUUAGCGGCGGACGGGUGAGUAACACGUGGGUAACCUACCUAUAAGACUGGGAUAACUUCGGGAAACCGGAGCUAAUACCGGAUAAUAUUUCGAACCGCAUGGUUCGAUAGUGAAAGAUGGUUUUGCUAUCACUUAUAGAGGGACCAGCGCCGUAUUAGCUAUUUGGUAAGGUAACGGCUUACCAAGGCGACGAUACGUAGCCGACCUGAGAGGGUGAUCGGCCACACUGGAACGGGAACACGGUCCAGACUCCUACGGGAGGCAGCAGUAGGGAAUCUGCAGCAAUGGGCGAAAGCCUGACAGAGCAACGCCGCGUGAGUGAUGAAGGUCUUCGGCCCGUAAAACUCUGUUAUUAGGGAAGAACAUACGUGUAAGUAACUGUGCACGUCUUGACGGUACCUAAUCAGAAAGCCACGGCUAACUACGUG